GUUAAAUUAUUACAAAAAAUCAGGACACAUUGAUUUUGUAAAAAAAAGGAAAAAAAAAAAAAUCCUCAUUAUAAAUAAUAUCCAUACAUUUUUGUACAUUUACUGUUAGUGGUCUUUAUUGUCAAGUUCUGUAGAAUGAAUGGAUCUGAAUUAUUUUGCUUUAUUGUGAAACUGUUAUAGUUCACAUAGUUUAAAAACACAUUUAACUACUUCCUUGCCUGAGGGUCAUGUAAUGCACAUGCAAUAGAUUAUUUCGCCUUCAACCUGUAAAGUGUUAACAGCAGCAGCUCCACUGGAUUGUUUACAAAAUUGCUAUAAUUAUGCAAUUUAAAACACAUGAUUAGGAUAUUCUUGUUUAUUUACAGAUUGGAUUAAAUUAUUGGGCAC